rnacentral:rRNA from 1 species
GGGACGAACGCUGGCGGCGUGCUUAACACAUGCAAGUCGAACGGUAAGGCCCCUUCGGGGGUACACGAGUGGCGAACGGGUGAGUAACACGUGGUAAUCUGCCCUGCACUUCGGGAUAAGCCUGGGAAACUGGGUCUAAUACCGGAUAUGAACUCCUGCCGCAUGGUGGGGGUUGGAAAGUUUUUCGGUGCAGGAUGAGCCCGCGGCCUAUCGGCUUGUUGGUGGGGUAAUGGCCUACCAAGGCGACGACGGGUAGCCGGCCUGAGAGGGUGAUCGGCCACACUGGGACUGAGACACGGCCCAGACUCCGUACGGGAGCAGCAGUGGGAAUAUUGCACAAGUGGGACGAAAG